rnacentral:rRNA from 1 species
UGGGGAUGACGUCAAGUCAUCAUGGCCCUUACGGCCUGGGCUACACACGUGCUACAAUGGUCGGUACAAAGGGUUGCCAAGCCGCGAGGUGGAGCUAAUCCCAUAAAACCGAUCGUAGUCCGGAUCGCAGUCUGCAACUCGACUGCGUGAAGUCGGAAUCGCUAGUAAUCGUGAAUCAGAAUGUCACGGUGAAUACGUUCCCGGGCCUU